rnacentral:tRNA from 1 species
ACCUGGCUGGCUCAGUGGGAGAGCAUGAAACUCUUGAUCUUAGGGUUGUGAGUUCGAGCCCCAUGUUGGGUG